rnacentral:rRNA from 1 species
GUCGAGCGAGAAGACGUAGCAAUACGUUUGUAAAGCGGCGAACGGGUGAGGAAUACAUGGGUAACCUACCCUUGAGUGGGGAAUAACUAGCCGAAAGGUUAGCUAAUACCGCGUACGCUCCUUGGACUUCGGUUCAGGGAGGAAAGCGCUACCGUGGGUAGCGCGCUCUUGGAUGGGCUCAUGUCCUAUCAGCUUGUUGGUGAGGUAACGGCUCACCAAGGCUUCGACGGGUAGCUGGUCUGAGAGGACGAUCAGCCACACUGGCACUGCGACACGGGCCAGACUCCUACGGGAGGCAGCAGUAAGGAAUAUUGCGCAAUGGGCGAAAGCCUGACGCAGCGACGCCGCGUGGGGGAUGAAGGUCUUCGGAUUGUAAACCCCUUUCGGGAGGGAAGAUGGAAUGGGGUAACCCAUUCGGACGGUACCUCCAGAAGCAGCCACGGCUAACUUCGUGCCAGCAGCCGCGGUAAUACGAAGGUGGCAAGCGUUAUUCGGAUUUACUGGGCGUACAGGGAGCGUAGGCGGUUCGGUAAGCCCUCUGUGAAAUCUUCAGGCUUAACCUGGAAAAGUCGGAGGGGACUGCUGGGCUAGAGGACGGGAGAGGAGCGCGGAAUUCCCGGUGUAGCGGUGAAAUGCGUAGAGAUCGGGAGGAAGGCCGGUGGCGAAGGCGGCGCUCUGGAACGUUUCUGACGCUGAGGCUCGAAAGCGUGGGGAGCAAACAGGAUUAGA